GCCCACGCCGUAAACGGUGAGUGCUCGUCGUAGUGGGUAUUGACCCCUGCUGUGACCAAGUUAACGCGAGAAGCACUCCGCCUGGGAAGUACGGUCGCAAGACUAAAACUCAAAGAAAUUGACGGGGGCCCGCACAAGCGGUGGAGCAUGUUGUUUAAUUCGAAGCAACGCGCAGAACCUUACCUGGAUUUGACAUCUCGGGAAUCUCCCUGAAAGGGGAGAGUGCCUUCGGGAACCCGAUGACAGGUGCUGCAUGGCU
rnacentral:rRNA from 1 species